GCGACCAGAAGGGGGGCAAGGAAGAACAAACCCUAAUCAACACAAAUCAAUCAAAUUGAAAGGGGAUUUGGAGUCUAGGUGAAUGUAUGACUUAAGAAUGAUGAUUACCUAAGUGUUUCUUGUAUCAAGCACAAAGAAGGAAGAAGGCGCGAGUCACUCAAAGGCACAAUCAUCACAAGAUCGCGGUAAAUCUCUUGCUUGAAUGCAGCGCGCCCGAACCGAACACACACACGAAACGUCGACUCUAAGCGCUUCCGGUCCAAGUUGUUUGUUUGAUGGGUUAACUUACCAUUUUGAUUAGUAAAUGUUAUUUUGUAUGUGUCUAGUUUGUUAGUUGAAAGUUUGGAUACUAAACUUCUGUAGUUUGUACAAAAGGUUCAUGGCGAACCAUAUACGGUUGUAAUUUUGAUUAUGUUGGUAAGUGUCGUAGUAUUAAUAGUAAUGGUAUUGUUAAAAACAGGGGGAAAGGUACCUAUUACGAAC